UGGGGACACCCCUGGGGACAGCCCUGGGGACACCCCUGGGGACACUGCUGGGGACAACAGCGGGGACACCCCUGGGGACACUCCUGGGGACAGCCCUGGGGACAGCCCUGGGGACACUGCUGGGGACAACCCCGCGGACCCUUGCUGCCCACGCCGGCGGCAGGAGGGAGGCGUGUGAGGCUCAGCGGUGCGAGAUGCUGGGAGUGAUUCCUGGGAUCCGCGGCUGCCCGGACAGGUGGACAAGGAAUCCUUGCGAUUUGCUGGUUUGGCAGCUCAGCGCCAGAGAGAGGCAGCGAGAGCCUGAACCAGGGCCCACUGCCUAAGUACAAAUUUGGAGAAGCUGCUUCCUGCAAGUAUCCAGAAGAGAAGGAUCAAGGAAAUGGAUGUGUUCUUGCCUCAACACAUUCCACCUGUACUUUGUUCCAGCCUCGCCCCUUUGCUCAUGUAGCAGGAUGCUCUGCCUAACUGGGGGUAAAACAGCUCAAACUUGACCCUAUUUGCAAAAAUUAUCAAUAUUUGAUGGGGAAGGGGCCUCAUGCUGUGUUUGGUGUUGAAGAAUCAGCCUGAUCCAUCAGUCCCAAAGUGAAACAUUCUGAGGAUGUGAAGAACAUUACCUGAUGGAAACUGGCACUGGUGACAAUGUGCCAGGUGAAGUUGCCAUUAGAGGCGCCAUCAAGUGAUAAUGCUGAUAACUUAUCUCAAGCUGCUGAGGUGAUGCUGCAGGCCCAGAGACAUCUGGCUGUGAAUCACCUUGUAGCACAAAAGCCCAGCCCCUCUUUUUAAUUGCAGGGAAUUCUAACACACCACUUCUCAGAGUGACUGUGGCUAUUCCACCCUUUAAUGGAGAUGCCCCUGAAGGCUACUCCUCAAGGCUGAGCAGAAGAGAUUUGCCCUCGAUUGUUGGUAUGGAUAACAUCAAUCUCUGUUUAGUAAUUGUUUUGCUGACUUUAAUAUUAUUCCUUCAGUAUUCAAUAAAUUGUGCACUAUACUAGUAGUUAUACUGUCUUCACUGUGUAGUAACAAAUUCUGAUUAAGAUCCUUUGUCUAAGCAUUUUUAUUAUUAAAUAAAACAAAUAAUUCUUCUGUA